CAGUUCCAACUCACUGAGCACACCUAUUUUUCUAUAAAUUAAAAGUACAGAGCAGCAGGGUUUUACUACAUUAGAUCACUACGGAGACAUCCAUUGAGAGCAAUGAACUGAAAGCCUAGAAACUGAAUUUUAAUGCUGGCAUUGCUGUGUUGUGGUUCACCGGUGAUGUGUCGUCGUCRUGCUGUAGCACAGACCUGAUCGCUACCUCGCCGUGGUGUCAAAGCUGCUUGUAAAGCACCGGGAGGAAGAAAGGCAUCACAGGGUGGCAAUUACCCGGGUGAGCUCAUGCACGAUGUUCGCAGAAGGUGCCGUGCUGAGCUGGAGUAAUAAACCGGCAGCCUUCUGA
rnacentral:lncRNA from 1 species